GACAUGUGGAGGCUGGAGGGAGAUGGGUGGAUGGGAAGUGGGUGGGCAGGCGGGAGGCGGGGGCAUGGAGCUGGAGUUGAAACGGAAGUCAGCGUCUCCCUGAAUCCUGGGAGCUGGCGCCUGGAAGGUGUGUGGGGUUUUCUGAGCGCCUUCUGUAAAUGAAACCCCAAGGGCAGGCGGCCGGGUGUGGGAGGGGUCCCAUUGCAUCAUCACCUGUGCUGCUGGCAUUAGUGAUUUUUGGGGCCCCAGGGGUGCACCCAGGGCCAGAGCCCAGCCUCCAGGGUCCUGGCACAGGCAGCGUGCUGCCACCUCCCCCUGCCUGGAGCAGCGCUGGGGGCCGUGUCCAGUGGGACGGAGCUGGUCACCAGCCCUGGGGAGCACGGUGUGAAUGAGCACCCACGCCUGCCUCCAGGGGCCCUGUGGGCACCGCCACCCCUCCUGUUGCAAAGCAGGCUGAGGCCCAAGGGUGAGGUCAUGUCUGCUGUGGGUGCCCCGGGCCAGCGGCACGGAGCCCAGGGCAUCGCAGGUCCUUGCCCCUGCGCACCUCCACUCGCUUGGGUCAUCUUGGGGUCACCAGGCGGGCACCAAGAGGAAGGAGGAUGGCGUAGAGACACCACUGGCCCACCUGCCCCGCCCUCAGGGACCCCUCCUUGGACAGCCUGGCCAGGACCUGGGGUAUCCCGGUGCUCCCACACUGGCCAUGGGGGCCGGGCUUUCCCCAGGGCCAAGUUUGCCUCAUCCCUUCAGUCCCUGUGGGGGCUUGCAAGGAGCAAGGCCAGGGCUGGGGUCACCUCUAGGUCUUUGGCUGCAGCAAGAGGUGGGGGUUUGUGGUGCAUCAUCAGCCCCCAGAGCAGGGUCAGGAGAGAGAGAGAGCAGGGUCUCAGUGCCCGGUGAGCGUGGCUCCUGUCCCAGACACGCCAUGCAGUUGCUAGGCCUCUGUUCUGCUGUGUGCCCGUUUUACUGUGGGGGCACUGAGGCAGGCAGCGGGGGGGUUGGGGCUGCCUGGGGUGCAGACUCCAGAGCCCUGAGCCCACUGCUCUACCCCAGGUCAGGGCCAGAGCUCCCGCUCAGGCUGGCGCAGAGGCAGGAAUGGAGUCUCGGCCCCUCUCAGCCUUUGCUGCGCCACCCGUGCUGGGUCCCACGCAGGGCGGGGGCCUGUGGUUGUCCUGCCUCCACAGGACUCGUGCUCAGUCAUCAGCCCCUCCUGGGGUGGGGGUGCAGCUUUGCUGGGGAAGGGAAGGGUUCCGGGCAGGCGCCAGGCCUGCCACCGCCACAGGAAGAGCCGGGAAGGCCGAGUGGGCAAAUCUUAUUAGCCAGCAGACUUCCGAAGGCCCCAUCGCUGACCGCCCAGCGACCUUCCAUCUCUCUGCCUGGCUGUGGUGGGAGCCAGGGGCUGCCAUUUCUGUGCCUGUAUCACAGCCCCCAGGGGCCACGUCUUCCCUGAACAGGUCGGGGAAGGCCCCCACUGGGUCCUUGCCUGGCCCAGUUUUCACUAUGGCUGAGAAGGCUCUGGGGUUUCCUGGCCUGGAUAGAGCUGAAGCAUGGGUGGUGGGGGCCCAGUCCAGCUCUGGGGUUCCACUCAGCAGCCUGGGCCAUUGUGGCCUCAGGGACGUGCCCCUGUACUUGCCUGGAGUGUGGCUAGAGCCAGCACCAUGCCAAGGGCAUGGCAGCUUGGCCCAUCCAUGGGCGUGGCAUGGCCUGGGCCCCUCCCCUGCCCUUGGGGCCUGGGUGUGUGACCCAAGGUCCUGGCACCCUGGGCUGUAGCUGGCUGGCCCCUGUUUUAGGGCCUGGGCGAGGCCACCCCCGAGAUGUCCCAGCCUGGAAGGGCCUCCAGGUUGGGGCACUAGCCUCUCUGUUGGCGGUACCAUCCCAACAAGCCAGCUUCCCGAAGCCUCAGUUUCCCCAUCUGUAGAUGGAAAGCAUGACCAAUCACAGCCCCGGCUCAGCACUGACUGCGGACAUGCCUGACUCGUGUGGACCGCCCUGCUCUGUGCCAACGUGGCCUCUACUUCUCCGUCCUCCAGGCCCCGCCUCCCCCAGGAAGCCUCCUUGGUGGUCGCCCCGCAUAUGGCCCAUCUGAGAACCAUCUGACAGUCACCCUGGCCCCAGGGAGUGUGAGGGCCCAGGGCGGGUUUGGAGUUCAAGGGGACCCUGGAGGGCUACCUCACACCCUGGCUGGCUCCUGCCUGGCCCCUGCCCCAGCCUAAGUGCCUCUGCUGAGCCUCAGGCUUCAGUAGCUGAAGAAAACCACACCUCAGCCUUGGGAACUGGCGGCUGCUCUCCGGGCAGCCCUCUGACAGGUGUGGGGCAGGUGCUGGGUCCGGGACAGGGCCGGGCCAUACGUGGAACAGCCAGCGGCAGCUAUCUCUCCCAUCUGUGCCCCGCCUGGCCGUCUGCUGCCUGGAGGCCUCUCAGGCUGAACACCUCCUCCAGGGAGCCCUCCACCCCUGCCUUAGCCUUGAGUGUCCAUCCCUCAUCCUGUCCUAAAAGCUCAGGUUCCAAGUCCUGUCCCGCUCCCUGGCCUCAGGCAGCAGCCACCUUCCCCGCCGCAGCACAGGGCUGUCUGUAGGCCUCGCCCUGUUCUGGGGCAUGGAGCCCAGGAGAGCCUUGCUCAGAGCAGCUCCCUUGUGCCUGAGCCUAAGGUUUCUCCAUCACAGCCCCUGUCUCCCUUCAGGUCUCAGGACCUCAAGCAGCCCCAGUGAAGACACGCGGCCCAGCUCCAUGGCCCAAGGAGAUGGCAGCUUCUGCUGUGAGCCUGGCUGGGUGCCGGGUGCUAGGCUCAGGGCUCCCCCAACCCUCCUCCCCAGGAACCUGGCUCUGGCUCGGGGACCUUCAGCACAUGCCCCAGGAUGGGCAGCUUUCCUCUCCCCAGCUGCCUGUCCCACCUCAGGACUGGUGACAGAUCCUCACUGGCUGUCCCCUCCCACCUGCCGGCAGCAGUGCCUGACGUCCAGAGGACUCCAGGUGCCAGGCUGCCUCCGGGGAGGAGCACGGGGCCGGGCAGUCGUCUGCCGGGGAGGAGCAGCCUGGCUGCUAGGACACGUAACUCCCCGUGGUGUCAGGCUGGGGGCAGCAUGCCUGACCUGGCAGUGGCCCCGGUGACGGCUUGGUGUGGCCACGGCUGGGCUCAGCCCAGUCUUAUCUGUGGAGGUUCAGAGACCAGUGGCCACUUCCCGGGGCUCUGGUGGUGGCGGCUUCCACGAUGCCUUCCCCAAGCCAGUCUGGUGCCCACACCCCGGGCCGGGGUCCCCAGCCCCCUGGCAUGAUCCACAGCACAGGCCCCAAAGGCCACUGUCCAAGGCCACCCCCGGGUGCCCCUCGCCCCACACCUGGGCCCCUCCCGGGCUGGAGACUCGCUGCUUCUGACUCGGGUCCCAGAGCAGGGCACCCACCUGGGUCCCAGUGCCCAAGGGCUGCCACCCACAUGCUGAGCCCCUGACCCUGGAGUUUCAGGUCCCAACUGGAAAGUGGGGGGGGUGCCUGUCUAAGGCUUCCAGAGAUCCCCGGGAGGGUGCCCUCCUCCACGUGGGCCCGGGAGCAGGAAGUGCUCGAAGGGGCUCCCAGGUAGGGCAGCGCUGCCUCAUGGGUUUUUCCAGGGGGGGGCUCCUGGGAUCUGAGGUCCUCUGAGACCCCCUCACCCCCAGCCCCCAGCAGGUAGGGACCCUGCCAUGCUUCCCUGUGAAGUCUCCACAGGAGUGGGUGCAGGUCCUGUGCCUUUGCUGGAGGUAGGGCUAGGGCCUCCUGCACCCCCAGGUCACGGGUCUGUGGCUGUCACCAUUGGGUGGUGGCUGACCUGGAGAGUGUCUCCUCUCACAGGUGGAGUCAGGGGCCUGGGUUUCAGGUUUGGGGCUUGGGGACUUCAGUGGCAAGACAGGCCAGGACCUGGCCAUGGACGAGGGGACAGCAGGAGAGAAGGGGGUGCCGCCCCCAGCUGGGGCUCCAGAGCCCCCCACCUGGUUCUCAUCUCCUCUGCCUCCUCCCCUUUGCCAAGAGGCCUCACCACCAGCACCCCAAGUCCCCACAGGCUGGUGCCCUGUGAGGCCCCGGGCACUUCCUCCAGGAAGCCCUUCUCCCACCACUGCAGCUCAGCCACACCCAGCGGCCCCCAGCCAGAGGAGGGGCACCUGGGGCCAGACAAGCCUGGGCUCGGGGCAGAGGUGCCUUCCUGCUUUCUGGGCGUGUGGGGAGGGGGUUCCCAGAAAUGCCGAGGAGGCCUGGCUGGCAGCCCGAGGGGAGAGCCCCUGGUGCUUCCUGCUUGGCUAGGGGCAGGCCUCUGCAGCCUGAGCUCAGAGAAGUGGGAGAAGCCAGUCAACAACGACAAAAACCAUCACCGCCCUCCCUCCUCUUCCCAGGCCUGUGUGGAGGAGGGCGCCCUCCCCGGGAUCUCUAGAGGCCGGACCCCUGGCUGGUGGGCACGGCAGGCGUCCUGUGUUGCCCCUGAGCCUGUGCCUGCACCGUGCCCAUCCGGCUGCCCGGCAGGACCCUGCCCGCUGUUCUGGGCUCCCGAAUCAGAGCCCCUCUGGGCGGAGGGGGGUCACAUUCCCCUGCUGAGUGGAUUACCUGGGGCAGGGCGGAGAGGUAUGUCACCUGGGGGUUGGGGUCUGCCUUGCCCUACCCUGCCCAAGAGGGUGAAAUGAGCUCAUGUUCCUGGCAGAGCAGCCAGCACCUGGCGCAGAGGGAAAUGAGCUGUGCCGUGGGCACGCUGGGGCGGGGGAGAUCCAGCCUGAAUCCGCCCAGCUUGAGCUGCCCUCCGGCCAGGUGUGGCCUCCCAGGGGAACGCUGUGGACCCUCUCGACAGCUGAGAGGUGGGGCAGGUAGGGCACUGACCAGGAUUCCCAGCCUCCUCUAGGAGAGGGCCCAGCCUGGCCAUGCUCCCUCUCACGCUGGGGCCCAGCUCAGGAGCCCCCACCUCCAGGAAGCCCCUCGAUGCUGAGGGCCCGCGUCUGUCCCCACCCACGCUGGGCUGUCCAGAGUGCUGACCACACAGAUGCGGAAGAGCCCCAGGGUUGCUGGGCCUGGUACAGAGAGGGCAUGGGGCUGCCCGUGGUCCUAGAGGGGGCGCAGAGCCAGGCCAAGCCCAACCACUGGCCUCCAAGAGUGGACACAGCUCCCAUCUGCUCCCCGUGAGCUGGGCCAGUUCUGAUGCAGCCCCCACACCUAUGGGAAGCCAGAAGAUUCUCACCACAGGCCUGUUGCGGCUGUUCUGUCCCUGCCAUGCCCAGGGCCUGGAACAGUCCAGGGAACAGAGACGGUGCUCAGUACACAUUUGACAUGUGAACGAAUGAGUGUGUAUGGAGAAACCUUCGAAUCUCAAGGUGGUUCUACUUCUACCUUGACCGAUGGAGACACUGGGCUUCAGGGUCAUCCCACGCCCUCAUGGCAAGGGGAGGCUUGGCCAAGACCAAGGUGCAAACAGCAGCUUGUAGCCCCGCUGGCUUGGACCAUGAGUCCAUCAACCUCCGAGAACUUUCUGGAUUUCAGCUUUGGCAAGUUCCUUCUGUUUCUGAACUUCCUCUUGAGAAAAGAAAAACAAACGUUCAGGAUGAGGAGGCAAC